rnacentral:tRNA from 1 species
CAGCUGGUGGCGGAUGUUGGCGAUGCUCUCGGCAUUGGCCAUCUUGCCGGCCAGGAUGUAGGCCGGAUCGCCACCGACCCAGUUGA